CAGACGCAGAGCAAUACUGAAAUUGCAAAGAAAUUGGACGUCAUAGCAGUGAUGAGCAUAUUUGCUUCUAUAGAGAGCAAAAUGCAUGAGAUGAGGGGACAGCGGGUCACCUGCUAGUAAUACUCCAUAUAUGCAGGCUAAGAAGAGAGGAUGUGCAAGGAGGACAAUAGAAAUAACAAUGUUUCCUCCAGCUCUUGGUUUACUGCCACGAAGCUCGGCCUGGUGGGCCGGGGGCUUCAUAUGCUGAGAAGGUCACGUCUCCUGAUGAUGGCUUUCAUUGUCCUUCAGCGGCUUCUCUGACACUAAUCUAGAUGCAUCAGUUUUAACGGCAUUCCUCCAUUGCAACAUGCAUCCGCGGAGAUCAAUCAAUCCAUCCUGUAAUUUCAUCAGGAUCUCUCUCUCUUGUUCCUCUACACCUCUCUCACCACCUCCACCCUCCCUCUCCCUGUCACCUUCCCAAAGCGUGAGGCAGGCCAUUCAUCAACAUUCCCAUCGAGCAUGGGUAUUUAAAAUGUUUUUUUAGAAUGCAUUGGCUGGGGUUCCACGAGGGCUUUCUGACACAACGGUGGUCAAUAGAUUCAUAAUGACUCUGUGUAAAGUCGUGUCAUAAAUAUCACUCCACCUCUCCGCGCUACAUGAUAGGUUAUUCUUUUAGCAACGUGAAUCCAAUAAAUCAAACAGAAGACACGGAAUUGCUGAAUAUAUGACUUACAAUAUACAACACUGUCAGUACAAAGUACAAACUGUCCUAUAACAAAUAGAGGAAUUAAAACCCACAUUUUGCUCGGCAGAGGUGUGCCUGCCUUUUGUACACACAAACUCUGGAAAAUAUGCUGAUAUUUGUGUCCUCUUUGUUUCUCUCCUCAGCCUCCCCCCCUCCUUCCCUCUUUGUCAUGUGAAGCACACACCAGCUCCUCUGCAUGUUUACCAAUGACAAAUGGAGGACUCGGGUCUUCAGGGGCACAGAGUGGAAUCAGGUGCGCUUCAGGCUGCGGGCCUAUAGGCUCCAGCGGCUGUAAGCCCAGGGGCCACCGGCAAAGGAGAGCCGUGAUAAGUCCUGGCUGAAGAAUGAAUACAUUCACAUGGGACGAGCAGUAUAGGGAGACAAUUGGCUGCAUUGUUUUCUCCAGCAUGCUGUUGCAUCACAAUGCACAUUCCCAGUGUGCACUUCAUGAAAAUGGAUUUAGUUAUGGAAGAGGACAUUUCAAGUCUCAAGUCUG